AGCAGCCUUCAAGAAGAGUAUUGGUCUAUUUCCUUUGGUGUUGUGUGUUUUAACGCUUGCAUUUGUUCAUUUUUUAAUGUAGUCUUAAUUCCGAUGGUAUUGUCUUGAGUCUUUCUGUUGUAUGAGCUUUCAGUUUAUCAAUCAUUCUUUGUUUAGUUUCUCUGUAAUUUCACUGUCAUAAGCUAAUGCUUUCUUUUGUUUUUCAGGUUUUGUUUGGACUGUCAAACCUAGCUUCUUCUCUUAAUUGUUUUGGUAUGCUUGUACAACUUCUUCUUGUUUCUAUGAAUGCUUGUAUCAUCUUUUUGUAUGAAUUGUUUUGGUUCCAAACAUAGUAAUCUUGUUUCUAUGAUUGCUUGUACA
rnacentral:lncRNA from 1 species